rnacentral:lncRNA from 1 species
UAUUUUUAUUUUUAAAAAGUUUGCACAUCGAUUUUUAUAAUUGGUUGUUUUAUCGGAACAUUUAUUAUUCUUUUUUCUGAUCCGUGCAGUGAGAGAAUGAAAGACGACAAAAGGAAGUGAGAAAAUGAAAGACGACAAAAGAAAGUGCAGAGUGCAGAGAGUCAUUCAUUCAAUUUAUCUUCUCUUUUGACGUCAAACUCCAACUUUUGUUUUCCACUGUUAAGUCACAUCACAUCCAUCUGUUUUGCUUCCGACUUUGCAGUUCCAUGUCACGAGCUUCUUUCAUUUUUCAUAAAUUAAUACAAAUAUUUUUUAUUUACAAAA